AGAACCGAUUGUGUCCAGCACACUGCUGAGCGGUUCUGCAUGUGUGUUGCAGGGCAGCAUCUGGGUGCAUCUGAAACAGCAGAUGGAGCCGACAGCAGAGGGCGACGCGCUCCUCUUUGUCCUCAGUGUUUGUCGCGUCACCAAGGGCGAUCUGACAUUGGUGGUGCCAUGGAGCCGGCCCACUGCCCCCCCUGUCGUUGCUGUCCUCUCUGUGGAGGCCCAGAACCCUCCAGAAGCACUGAGCCAGACUGUUGCAGAGUUUCAGGCUCACCCACACAUACAAGCUGCCACGUGUGUUCCCCGGAUGGAGCCGGGAGGAGCAGACACGCGGCAGCUGCCGCUCCGCCCGUGCGGUUACAGUUCAUGCCAGUGUGCUCGCCACCACUUCUGUUGUACUCAUCGACCCCCUACGUGCCACUGAGCCACAGCACACCUUCAGGGGUCAGAGGUCACAGGGAGAAGAGGACGAGACACUGCCAGUGGUCUGACAGGGAGCACUCCGUGGACACGUCUUUGAACAGAGCCAUCAGAGCAGCUCAGCACAUGAAACGUACCUCUGGACACAUGGCUCGCUCUCUGGCUACAGGAGUGCAACACCAGGAGCUGCUCACUCAGUCCUGCAGCUACUAG
ensembl:lncRNA